rnacentral:lncRNA from 1 species
GUAAUUCAAGAUUCUCCUCAACAAUAUCGAUACCAUUUUAUUGCAACUGAAUUUAUUUCAAAAUGUGAUGCUGGUUUUGAGAUAAGCUAUUCGCAGUCCACUUCCUUCCUUACAGUAUAUUAUUGUAUUUUUGAAGAGUGAAGAUCCGACAGCAUAGCUGGAAACUGCGUGUUCAAAAUGGCUACAUCUGGAUACAAAAAAAAAAAAAAAAUCAAGUUCUUCAACAGGAAUUAUUACGGAUGCAAGGAAUGCAAAAGAAAUGUGGAAAACUAGAGAAGGAUAAGAAGAAUUGGAGAAGUUCCCGUCGUGGCUCAGUGGUUAAUGAAUCUGACUAGGAACCGUGAGGUUGUGGGUUUGAUCCCCGGCCUUGCUCAGUGGGUUAAGGAUCCAGCAUCACCGUGAGCUGUGGUGUAGUUUGCAGAUGUGGCUCAGAUCCUGCGUUGCUGUGGCUCUGGCAUAGGCCAGUGGCUACAGCUCCGAUUGGACCCCUAGCCUGGGAACCUCCAUAUGCUGCAGGAGCGGCCCAAGAAAUGGCAAAAAGACAAAAAAAAAAAAAAGAAAAAGUUGAAACAAGAAGUGGUAAACCUCCAGAAUCACAUAGAAAUGAAUAUGCAGAAUGCAGUCUAAUAGAGCACUAUACACACGAAAUGGAAGAAAGAGCAAGACAGGAGAUAGAAGAACAGUUAACAAAAGUCAACUUAUCUCUACAGGUCGAUUUAUUGAUCUUUAAUGUGCUUUAAUUCACUUCACUCUAAAUUACAUCUUGGAUGUAUACACUUUAUAUGUUUCCUCUAGUUCUCUUUUAACAGUUGUAGCAGUAAGCAAAGGAAAUAAUCAAAAUAAAGGUUGUCAGUAUUUUGGAUUGAAGGAAAAUCAAUAGUUUGGAUGAAAAAAAGGAGGUGAUUGAUCUGUGUUCUGUUAUUUCUUAAUAAUAAUUGAAAAUGUCCCUUGUGGUGUUUUCAUUGCAGCUUGGUGGAAACAAAUCUGACUAGCACCCAUGAGGAUGCUGGUUUGAUCCCUGGCCUCGCUCAGUGGGUUAAGGAUCCAGCAUUGCUGUGAGCUGUGGUGUAGGUCGCAGACGAGGCUCGGAUCUGGUGUUGCUGUGGCUGUGGUGUAAGCUGGCAGCUACAGCUCCAAUUCGUCCCCUAGCCUGGGAACCUCCAUAUGCUACCAGUGCGAACC